rnacentral:tRNA from 1 species
GCCCCGAUAGCUCAUCCGGAUAGAGCGCAGGCUUCCUAAGCUUGAGGCGGCAGGUUCGAGUCCUGCUCGGGGCGCCA